UCCUACGGGACGCAGCAGUGGGGAAUAUUGGACAAUGGGGGGAACCCUGAUCCAGCGACGCCGCGUGAGUGAAGAAGUAUUUCGGUAUGUAAAGCUCUAUCAGCAGGGAAGAAAGAAAUGACGGUACCUGACUAAGAAGCCCCGGCUAACUACGUGCCAGCAGCCGCGGUAAUACGUAGGGGGCAAGCGUUAUCCGGAUUUACUGGGCGUAAAGGGAGCGUAGACGGCCAUUCAAGCCAGAUGUGAAAGCCCGGGGCUCAACCCCGGGACUGCAUUUGGAACUGUGUGGCUAGAGUGUCGGGGAG
rnacentral:rRNA from 1 species